rnacentral:rRNA from 1 species
UGGGCUCGGAGACGUGUAUUAGAGACAGCACCAUGGGAGUGGGUUGCAAAAGAAGUAGGUAGCUUAACCUUCGGGAGGGCGCUUACCACUUUGUGAUUCAUGACUGGGGUGAAGUCGUAACAAGGUAACCGUAGGUGAACCUGCGGUUGGAUCACCACCUUA